CCUACGGGAGGCUGCAGUGGGGAAUAUUGCACAAUGGGGGAAACCCUGAUGCAGCGACGCCGCGUGAGUGAAGAAGUAUUUCGGUACGUAAAGAUCUAUCAGCAGGGAAGAAAAUGACGGUACCUGACUAAGAAGCCCCGGCUAACUACGUGCCAGCAGCCGCGGUAAUACGUAGGGGGCAAGCGGUAGCCGGAUUUACUGGGUGUAAAGGGAGCGGAGACGGCAGCGCAAGUCUGGAGUGAAAUCCCAUGGCUUAACCAUGGAACUGCUUUGGAAACUGUGCAGCUAGAGUGCAGGAGAGGUAAGCGGAAUUCCUAGUGUAGCGGUGAAAUGCGUAGAUAUUAGGAGGAACACCAGUGGCGAAGGCGGCUUACUGGACUGUAACUGACGUUGAGGCUCGAAAGCGUGGGGAGCAAACAGGAUUAGAUACCCUAGUAGUC
rnacentral:rRNA from 1 species